rnacentral:rRNA from 1 species
GAAACGACUCUCGGCAACGGAUAUCUCGGCUCUCGCAUCGAUGAAGAACGUAGCGAAAUGCGAUACUUGGUGUGAAUUGCAGAAUCCCGUGAACCAUCGAGUUUUUGAACGCAAGUUGCGCCCGAAGCCGUUAGGCCAAGGGCACGUGUGCCUGGGCGUCACCCAUCACGUCGCCCC